ensembl:lncRNA
AAAUGCUGAAUACAACAGGUGUAGUAGACCUUACAGUGAAAUGCUGAAUACAACAGGUGUAGGUAGACCUCACAGAGAAAUGCUGAAUACAACAGGUGUAGUAGACCUCACAGUGAAAUGCUGAAUACAACAGGUGUAGUAGACCUCACAGUGAAAUGCUGAAUACAACAGGUGUAGUAGACCUCACAGUGAAAUGCUGAAUACAACAGGUGUAGUAGACCUCACAGUGAAAUGCUGAAUACAACAGGUGUAGUAGACCUUACAGUGAAAUGCUGAAUACAACAGGUGUAGUAGACCUUACAGUGAAAUGCUGAAUACAACAGGUGUAGUAGACCUUACAGUGAAAUGCUGAAUACAACAGGUGUAGUAGACCUUACAGUGAAAUGCUGAAUACAACAGGUGUAGUAGACCUCACAGUGAAAUGCUGAAUACAACAGGUGUAGUAGACCUCACAGAGAAAUGCUGAAUACAACAGGUGUAGUAGACCUCACAGUGAAAUGCUGAAUACAACAGGUGUAGUAGACCUCACAGUGAAAUGCUGAAUACAACAGGUGUAGUAGAC